rnacentral:piRNA from 1 species
GCUGAGAGUGGAAUGGUAGAGACCUGGGGU